rnacentral:lncRNA from 1 species
AAUACAAAAUGUACCCCAAAUUCAAUCAAAUGCAAAAGUAACCAAAAAGGUUAAUGAAAUUACAACAACAUCCUCAUAGAAUAUUUCUUUGUAAGUCUUCUCGUUCGGUAGAUCUUAAAUAUAAUUUUAAAUUUAGGCUUUUUGUAAAAUUGACUCAAAACUCAAAGUCAACCACAAAACUAACCUACGUUUUUUUGGAUAUUUCUUGUCCUAUUCACCCCACAAAUUCAGAUUAUUCACGAAAAUGACAUUAAAUAUUUUUAUUUUUAUUUUUUGAAAAAUGACAUUUUUACCCUCUAAACCUCAUCAUCUUCAAGUAUUUAAAAGAUUGCAAUUGCCAUCAAUACACCAACCACCAUGAACAACCAAUUUGAAGCUCUUAAUGCACCUCAAAUCGAUUUACACUUUUUCUUUCUCAAUUCUUAUAAACUAAAAACAACAUCUCUUUCACUUUCUCUCCAUAUUCAUCCAAAAAAAAACCCAAGAUUUGAUUCUAAAUUUUUUAUUGUUCAUAGAGCCAUUGAAGCUUAUGAUUCUUGGUGGGUCACUUUUGUUUGAGAUUCUGGCUGC